CGAGACCGGAGGAUGUUCCCUGCUCAGGAGGAGGCCGACAGGACCGUGUUUGUUGGGAAUUUAGAGGCCCGAGUUCGGGAAGAGAUUCUGUACGAGCUGUUCCUUCAGGUACCGUCUCUGGGAAGGGGCGGCGGAGGGGCGGAGCACGUCGGGCCGGAAACAUAGCGCGCACCUGGACCACCCGGAGCCCGGCCCCCUUCCGUCCCAUCCUGAGCAGGGGUUUUAAUUUCGUUUCCUCUUGGCGCACCUGUCUCCAGGCGGGGCCACUAACCAAAGUGACUAUAUGCAAAGACAGAGAAGGAAAGCCAAAGUCUUUUGGAUUUGUCUGCUUUAAACACCCAGAAUCGGUGUCUUAUGCCAUAGCUUUGCUGAAUGGAAUUCGUUUAUAUGGAAGACCAAUUAACGUGCAGUAUCGAUUUGGGAGUUCUCGCUCUUCUGAACCAGCUAACCAAAGUUUUGAGAGCUGUGUUAAGAUAAAUUCACACAACUACAGGAAUGAAGAAAUGUUGGUGGGCAGAUCUUCCUUUCCCAUGCAGUAUUUUCCAAUUAAUAAUACUUCUUUACCUCAAGAAUAUUUUCUCUUUCAGAAGAUGCAGUGGCAUGUGUAUAAUCCAGUGCUGCAGCUUCCUUACUAUGAAAUGACAGCUCCACUUCCUAAUAGUGCAUCCGUGUCUUCCUCACUGAAUCAUGUUCCAGAUCUUGAGGCUGGACCCAGCUCAUAUAAAUGGACUCACCAACAACCAAGUGACUCUGACCUUUAUCAGAUGACAGCUCCACUUCCUAAUAGUGCAUCCGUGUCUUCCUCACUGAAUCAUGUUCCAGAUCUUGAGGCUGGACCCAGCUCAUAUAAAUGGACUCACCAACAACCAAGUGACUCUGACCUUUAUCAGAUGAAUAAACGAAAGAGACAAAAGCAAACAAGUGAUAGUGAUAGUAGCACAGACAACAACAGAGGCAACGAAUGUAGCC
rnacentral:lncRNA from 1 species